rnacentral:tRNA from 1 species
CGAGCGGGUGGCCGAGGGCGAUGGCCCCGCCGUUCACGUUGACGAUCUCCGGGUCGAGGCCGGGCCACUCGGCCA